GCCAGGCAAGGUGGUGCAUGCCUGUAAUCCCAGCUAUUUAGGAGGCUGAGAGAGGAGGAUUGCAAGUUCAAGGCCAACCUGGGCAAUUUAACAAGACCCUGUGUCAA
rnacentral:sRNA from 1 species